CCAGUGCAAAUAAUCAGUACAAACAAUGAAAAAGAAAAAAAAGGAGAUGACAACCCACAAGCAGCGCGGCAACAACGGCGAGGGGUGGCGACGAGGGUCCAGAGGAUUGACUACAACGAGUGCCACGGAGAAGAUGAUCUGGAACCUUGAACCAGAAUUGGAACGACACCGUUUACGACCACGAAGCACAGAUCUGGAAUCUAUAAGCUCAAAUCUCAGAGAUUGUAUCACAGAUCUAGGACCUCGAAACUAUUGGUGGUUGGAGAUCGACCUUGGAGGAGAUAUGUGGCUUGCGAUCGGCGUUGGCGGAGGAUAAGGUAUGCAAUCGUCGCGUACGAGGUCGGAGACCUUGAGGCGGUGGCAGGGCGUGUGCGGCGCAGAACCCAGGCAAAGCAAAAUUCGCGUGGUGGUGGCGGAGAAGGGGUGGAGGAGGAGGUGGUGUUGCUCAAACCUAACACGGCAGGGGUGGGGCCGGGGUUGACGGUGGCGCUGUCGACGUCGCAGAAGCCGGUGAUGGGAGGCCUCUGGUGGCGAGGGACUGGGAUUAGGGAUUCAGAUUGGGGUAAGAAGGAUGGGAAGGGUUGUUUUUGACAUUUCACUUAAAGAGUGGGGGCGAGUGUAAUCCCAACAGAUAAGAAAAGAAAGAAAUUCUAUCCUCAUCUCUGUUAUUUUCUUUACUCCUAAUGACACGUGUAUCAAGUAACUGGACUUAUGGGCCUGAGGGCUCUAUUUAUUUAUCCCCUAUAAAGGGCACGAGUUAGUUCAAUCUGAUGUCUAACCUAAUUUGGAUACCUGCCUUUUUAGCUUGCAGCUGCCGUCCGUGCACAGAGGAGUCUUAGGAGGAACAACUGUAGAGAAAAGGAUCUGCCAAAUUCGCUAGAAAAUUCACCAGAAACACCACCCGUUAUCCAAUUAAACCAGAUUUUUGGAUCAUUUGUGAAGUUGAAUUGCUAUCCAACUGCUAUUCCCAUUUCUAAACCUUGUUACACGAGCAUCUUGAUCAAUGGUCUAGAAAGGGAAAUAGCAGUUGAGUGGUGCUUCAACGAUAAGUUAUUGGAUUUAGUAUUUAUCUUAGCCUGUUUUCGUGUACUUUGUUUUGCCGGAUGGAGGUAUGUGAUUUUGUCUAUGAUUCUUAAUACAAUAACCUACACUUACUCUCAUUGAUGGUUUGUGCAGAUCUAAUAGCUAUGAAGCAUCGAUACCAGACACGACACGGUCACGUGACACAUGUAAUGUCUAAAAUAUUAAAAUAUAGAACGUAAUACGAGUGUCGUGUUGGUGUUGGACACUGAUAGGGACGCGUGUCAGACACCGGACACGACAAGGGACUGAAAUGUUCAUGCUUCAUAGUCUAAUAGAAUCGUUUAUGUUUGAGAUCUUGUUGAUGAGAGGCAGAUAGAGGUCAACUUGCCAAUAUGAUAACCUACAGUUCUAUAUUAGAUGCUUUUUGCAAAAACGAUCAUCCAAAGGCUAUUGGAUUAUUCAAGAAAACUAAAGACCAAGGAGUUCAAAACCGCCUAUGUACACAUCCACGAUACUUAUGGAUGGAUUGUGCGAAGUGGAAGACUUCAGAAUGCAAAAAUGAUUUUUCAGGAUCUACUGAUUAAAGGCUAUCAACUAAGUGUCUGUCUGUACUCUGUAUAAUGUUAUGAUUUGUAAAGAGGGAUUUUUUGAUGAAGCAUUGAUCUAGAAAUCUAAAAUGGAAAAUAAUGGCACUGGCACUCUCGUGUGUGAUUAAAAGUCAUAUAUGGUUUAAGAUACUUUUUUUUAUAAAGAUAGUAGUGGUCAAUUUUUCGAUAUUACACAAGUGUUUCUUUUUCUUCUCAUUGUACUGUAGAUCUGAUUUACUUUCAAUGAUUGUUUAAGUCACUGGUGUAAUUGUUUGUGUUUCAAAUAUCAAACCAAGCUGAAACUGACAUGAUGAUGAUUUGAAAUGCUUUAUCUCAUGUAGUCGACUCAAUUUUCCUGUAUAUUUCUUGUUCUUUUUAAAGAAACAGGAGCUUUUAAGAUUUAAAACACCAGCAUAUUUUGUUUGCAUAAUCCAAAUUGUCUUUGGUGUAAAGUUGCUGACAUUACCCUUGAUGUCAUUGCUGCAUAAUUAAUUGGAGCCUUUUCAAAACCUAUGGUUUAUUUUGUUGGGGAUUAUUCAAGGAACGCGUGUCUCAGUCUCAAGUGUUAUGAUUGCUGAUAUCAGUGAUAUAUUGCUGCACAAUGAAGUGGAACUAUUUUAAAUUUCAAUUGAUGAUUCUGCAUUCAAUUUAUCAUCUGACCUUUUUAUCUUUUACCUCAUCUGACAUUUUAGUCUUUUACCAGAUAAAAGGACCAAACACAUGAGAUAUAAUCACCAAAUGAAAAGAAUGAAAGACGAGAUAUAAAGAUGUGGUUUUUCUUUUUAUUCCUGGAAGAUUUAGAUGAUGUUUUCAAUUAAGUUGUUUGUGGAUGCUUUUAGAUGAUUUUGUUUUGCAUGCAUAUGUUUACUUUUUUGUUCUCAACUUCUCAUUCAUUUUCCAUGAUUUCAUCCCGUGAAAAAGUGAUUUAGCAGAAAACGUUUUUCCCCUGUUGUCUUUGUCCUAAACUUUUGGAUUCUAAGUUUUUUUAUAUGAAAAUUAGAUCAUUUGGCACAUGGUUUUCCAAAGACACAAGUAGACUCUUUCUAUGAAAUCAAUCUUAAAUCCCUUUUAGAGGAAAAACAUUUUAAAGGAGGUGAACAUGUUGUGGAGUGGGAAGUUGCUCAUUUUGAUGAUCAAAUACAAAUCCAUCCCAUAAUGAUCCUUACUUUCUGUCUCUUAAUCUGUGAUUGUCGCUCAGUCUCUCAGUUGUUAAGUCUUUAAAUCAUGCAUUCUGUUCAGUUGGUGGAGAAUGCUGUUGUGUCUAUGCCACUUGUCAACGAAGCAUUGCUUGUCAUAUGCGUAGAGACCCUCGAGUCUUGUUGUUGCAUGCAGAAACACUGAGGGGUUUACAUCAUUGAGGUUGAAGCAAUUGAUGGUGGUUGACUUGUGAUCUCCGUAGAUAUGAGCUAAUACCUCUCCUUACCCCUCAUUAGGCUUUUAAUCAGAUGUGGACAUUAAUUCCUUUUCAGUCUGCUGGGCCUAUCAUGCGUUGAUUUGGUCCUCUGUUUUCUUAAUACUGUACUCAUUGUUUCCUUACAGUUUGAAAUUUGGAUACUUAGCCCUUUUUAUUAUCAGUUUCUAUAAUAAAAUGCAGUAAGUUAAUUUCAGUGUCUGGUGGUGCAUUGUAAGACAUGUAAAUAAUGAUAGAGAUAUGGCCCAAGUAGUGCUUAUGAGGCUUGGAUAGUUCUCACCUUACAAGCUGGUCUUGUACAGUUGAGUUUUAAUCCAAAUUCUAAGAUACAUGUAUGAUGUUCAAGAAUUGGAGACUAGAACAAAAUUUGAAAUUCAGUCAAAGCAUCAAUCUCCCAUCUUAGGUUCUACAUGUCAUCAGUAAACCUGAUAGGCUAAUAGCUAUGGCCAGAAGCUUUCUCCUUGCUUAACGAGUAGUUGGUAGAAAACUAAAAAUAGCUAAAAUAUCAGGCAUUUCAUAAAUUGAGUCAAUUUGCUAUUUGUCUUUAUACUAUGCUGUGUUGAAUAUACCUAAAGCCUGUAGGGAGCCUCAGGAGUAGUGAAAUUAUAGUUUAUUUAUGCUCCAGGUCACUGGUACAGUUCUUGGUGUGGAACCUUGGAUAACAAAAAUAAUUUUUUGGUUAAAGUAUAUCCUUUUAUUAAUUUAGAAUUAGAUACAGCUAUCCCUGGAAUUUGUGCUUAGAUUUUGGAGUCAGGAAUACAUUUGUUUUAUGUCGUUCAUCAACUUUGGUUAGUUGUGACAUUUAGAUAAAUAGAUUUAAUAGUAAGGCUAAUUGUUGUAAUUCACUUCACUGUAGAACUGGAUUUAAAUAUUCAGAAAUUAUGCAGCCUACAUGAUAUGAUGAGUUAAGCUGUUCCAAAGAGAAAAGAUUGUCUUCAAACAAAUAGUCUUCACAGUAUUUAAUUAUGCUGAUUGCUGUCCCAUUUGCUUGUAGAUAAUAAUUUGAUUAUUUAGAGAAUCAAAUGAUUGUGGUUAUUGAAAGGGUUUUAAGAUUUAGCUGAAGGGUUCAAUGAAGUUUGUAUGUGAUAGUUUUUAUAUUUCUGCAAACAGGAUGAUGCAUCUUGUGUUAUUGAAUAUUUGACAAUGGUAGUAAUGAAAGUAGGCCUGUGCAUAUAAUGUCGGCAUACUUCUAGUAGACACUGCCAAAUAAAUGUAAAACCCACAUUUUUCACUCUCUCAUACACUGAUAGGCUCAUUAUGAAGGUUUUUGGGAGGAAAGGAAAGAGGGUGCAGGGAAACAAAAUUGGCCUAAGGAUGUAGGCGUGUGAGUGAGUGUAUGUAUUAGAGGAGGAAGAAACAUGUUGCACAAGGGAAAUUAGUGGGAGAGAAGAUAUGACAUAAUAAAAUUGACCGUGGCAAGGAGGGAAUGGGGAAGAGGAUUCAGGAAGAAGGAGAAUGAUUAUUUUAGGAAGUGAAUGUAACUGUGAGAGGGGGGAGGGAUUCCAUAUUGGUAAUGGAGGUUUGGUUGGGCUGUUCAGAGGAGAGAUUCAUUUUCUCAAUCUAUUGGUGUUAGCAUUCCGUCUAUUUUUUUCUCUUUUCCAACUUGUAAGGAGUUUGCUCCUUUUUCUUUAGUUAUUUCAGUUUCUGUAGCUUCGUUUUUUGAUCAUUAACUCAGGAAUUAUCCUCUGGUUGGGAGGAUUUAGCUCCUACCUUGUUGAAUUUAAUUCAGAAAACAAAUUUCUCAUCUGACACGAAAAGAUGUAGAGAAGCAACCAUCUUUAUAACUGAAUUUGCUAGAUUGUAGCCAACACUGUACAUCAAGAUACACAAUCUCUCACUUGACAUGAAGUAGAAGAUGACCCAGAAAAUGGAAGCUUAAAAAUUAAAGAAAACUUUGUCUUGUUGACAUGAUGUAUGACAAUGCAUAUUAAUAAGAAUUCAGCACGAUCACCUAUUACUUAUGAAAUGUGCUUCAUAUAUAUCUAAUGUCAUUCUAAACUCUUGGAAGCCGAGCUUGCUUUAUUUAUUGACACAACAAUUUUAUGCAAGCUACUGUUGGUCCAAUAGUCAACCUGCAAUCAUGCCUCAUAGCUGUGCCACUUGAAGGUUCUAUAUUCUGGAUAUAUGGCAGUUGGAAACUGAUUUGCCUAACUGUCAAAUUCUCCCCAAUGUCCCCAUCCCUUCCAUCAUUACUGUGAUAGCCUUAGAAAAGAGUUAUAUUUUUACUUUCAUUAGUGCCUUUGUUUCUAGUUGAUCUGCAGCAGGGCUUGAGUAACAAAAUAGAAAAUAUGUAGUUGCAGACCUCUACCACCCUAGAAAAAACCUCUAUAUGGAUUGAUAUCUUUGAAAUGUUAAGUUAUAGUGAGUUGAAAAUAGACUGGAGCUAAACUGGGCCUAAAUUGAAAACCUAAGAAAGGAGCUGUUUUUUCCCAAUACACAAUUUGUAUCUUUCCUCCUUCAUUCAUGAUUGACUAACCGGAUUUGCUUCCAGGUAAACUGCCUUUGAUCUAUUGCUUCAGGAUAACAGUAUUUGAUUUUUCUUUUCCUAAUCUUACUAGAUGUAGCAAAUGUGUGAAGUGACAUAAUUCAAAACCUGAUUGAAUUCCCUAAAUGAUGCCAAAUGAUAACAAUAUAAAAAUCCUUACAUUUUUAUGUUACUGUAUACAAGACAAUUUAUGUUAGUUGUCCCUGGUUACUCAAGCUUUGAAAUUCAGAUAUUGGGAAAAUUUAUUGCAUCUGGAUGCUAUUUUUACAAUUUACAAAUGCAUAAUAACAUGAUUCUAGUGAUAAUAAAAGGCCCAUUUUUUAAUGCACCAAAAAACAAGGUUCAAUUUUCUCCUUGCCAGUUUUGCUGUUUAACAGUUAGGAUUGAGUUUUGGACAGGUUGGUUACGAUUAGGAUAUAUUAAAUGGAGAAAUUACCGAUUCUAGAAAAAGGUAGAGACACCAUAUUAAAUUUAAUGUAAGUCAUUUACCAAUGUAAUAGUAGUAUAGUUCAAAAACGAUUGUGAACCAUGUUACAGAUAGUGUUAAUGAUAGGAAACAGGUAGAGUUAUGCAUUAAUAGUCUGUUAAGAAACAAGGGCAUGGUGUUACAUUUUUCUAAUUUGUAUUAUUGUUUGAUUUCUCAGUAUGGCACUAUGGCUUGCAUCAUAUCUACAAUUACAAAAACUAAGUUGGUUUCUGUAGGUUGUGCUCCUCUGGGUUGCCUCAAAUUUGUUGGUUGGAUUUCAUGAUACUAAGGGCAAACAGCAGUGUAUGGAAAAAAGUCUUUCAUAAAUAGGUUGAGCUUUGUGCACUGAUGUUGAUGAAGGUGUGGCUAGGAUUACAACACUUUAUCUUUGCCUUGUGAAGUUUCAACCACUUGCGUCUGAUUGUUUCAAAUUUAAACUUGAUGUCAAGUGGCAGUUUGAUGUCAGUUUAGGCUGCUUCAUGUUCUCCUUUACAAUUGGCUGUGUGCUGUGCCUUGUUAGUUAGCUUAGCAGCUUUUUUUCUUUGACACAUUUUUCAAUACUGAGGAUGCCACCUAUUGUAUUUCUCAGCAUGGUGAUGGAUCUGUCUUCAUAUGGUCUAGGAACCUGUUGCCACCAAUGUUGUUGCAUAGAUGUUAAAUGCUUUUGUUUUACUAGAUCUCAUGAAAUAAUAUUUGAUUGUUUUCUUUUCAUAAUGGCAUCAUCUCUGCCUUCUCAGCCUGCCUUGACCAUGAUUUUAUUAAUAAAAGCUUACACUUUAAUUUACCAAGAAAAUUAAUAAGAGAGGAAAGCAAAAAGUUUUGGUUGCAUCACUUUUGUCAAUAUAACUAUUUCUGGCAUCAGGGUAAUAUUUCCAAAAAUGUUAGCAGGUAUGGUACAGUAUGAAAACAUCAUUCAUAAUUUGUACUUUCUAGUGUGUCACAUGAAAUUUCCUAGCAAACUCUCACUCAAGCUGGUUUGAUUGGAAAUUUAAACACCUAUGAUUGACAUAAUCUAAAAAGAAAAGAAAAAAAUAAGUGCUAUGCUCUAAACGGUUAAGGAUAUUUCUGAAACUAAAAUUUGUGGCUUCAUUUAUGCAGUUAAAAACCAUAUAAUAUAGGGAAUGUCAUUGCACUGUGACAUAUCUUUCCUUGCUGGCCCCAGAGAGUGUGAGACUCGUUGACAAACAGUUCAAGGUGUGCUAGCUGGCUUGAUUCUCUUCUCCAUUUGAAGUUUAUCCCUAACUAAAUUCUUGCUGUUAAAUUUUCUGUCGUACUUAGGUUCCUUUGUACUUGCAUGAAUGGUGUAACGUCUUUUCAGAAUUAGACUGCAUUAAUGAGUAAUGGAUUUAGCAGCCAAUACUCAUUGUCUUCAAUGGGGACAUGGGAAGGGGACCAAUUGGUUUCAACUCACUCUGUAAUCCUUGCUUAGUGGCUUUUGUCCCAAAAACCUUUGUUGAUGUCUACCUCUUUAUCCGACAUCCUCUGGGACCCUUGUCUGCUCCUAUUUUAAAAAUUCUCAAUAAAUUGUUGUUUUUUUUUGUUGAACUUGGGGUAUCUCGUAGCCCAGCCAUAUACUAAUUUCUCAAAAUACUAACAUUCAUUUAAAAGGUUUAUAUCUUCUAACAGAUGUUUUUUUAUACAUAUUGAUCUGAAAAUUAAACUCAUGACCUGAUCACACGCUUAAGAGACAUAGUUCUUUGUCCAUUAUAUCACACCAUAUUAGUGAUUUUUGUAAAUUGCUUGUCAAAUCUAUUUAGUUCAUUUCUUGAUGAAAAGGACACCGUUUCACAAUCAAUGUUUUAAACUAGAGAUUUGUAUGCAGCACCACACAUGGCUUGUAGUGGAUGAAAAGGCCUGAAAUUUCCCUACCAUGAAAAUCCUGAUAUUUUUUUAGUUCAUAUUUCAGAUUUCUGUCGAACUGAUUCAAGGGUAACAAUACAGCUACGUGUGUCUCUAGUACUCUAGUGGUAAUGGUACCGUGUAAUUUAUCCAUUUUACAUUUGUUUUUAUGCUGUUAGUUGUUAGUACUAGAGUUUUUCAAUUGGUUUCUAAUUUUUAUUUGCAUGUUUUAUUUGGAAAAAUUAUACGGAAGAUUUUUUUGAGAUAUAUGUGUCGGGAUUAUACAUCAUAAUUACAUAUUAACGGCCCUUAAGCAUCAUUAAUCUGUUGAGGGUUUAUUGUUCUUAAGUUUGAAAAUCUUUGAGAUAAUACUUUUAUUUCCCCAAAUAUUCGUGUAAAAUUAAUUUAUUCUUUCAAAGAAUAUUGACAUUGAUUUACUUCUUCAAUUAAGGAAAGUGUCAUCAAAAUCAUCUUUCAUUGUAUGGAUUUUGAGAAUAUCGUUAAUGGAUCUUCUAAUUGUGGGACUCAAUUUAUAUCACAUUCUAUGAUUAAUGAACUAAACUGAUGCUAACCAUUUUUCUUUCAGAAGAUCAUAUAUGUAUGUCACUUUAUUAUCCAUGUGUUGCAUUAAAUUCAACUUUAUUUAAGGAGGCAAAUUGAUUUUCCUUGAAUAAAACAAUCUACUUGUCAUACAUUAUUUUACGCAUACUAAAAAAAAUAAUUUGAUAAAAGUAAGUAAUAAUUUUAUAAAAUUAAUCUUAUAUCAUCAUUAAUUCAUUUAUAAAUUUUAUUGUUCAUCAUUAAUAUUAUAAGAAAUAUAAGUAAAAAUAUUUAAAAAUUAAAAAUAAUUUUUGAGAUAAUUUUUUUGUUAUGGAACAAUUAUAAUAAAAUGGAGUGAUCAUUUUAGAAUGCAUUGAAUGUUCGAGAUGUGGCACGGAAAUUUAAAGCAAAUUGACACUAAAAUGUAUGCUUGCACGGAAAUUUAAAUCAAAUCGACGCUAAAAUGAAUGCUUACUCGUUUCAUUUUUGUUUUUACCAAUCUUGUAAAAAAUUUCCUUAUAUUCUCUGGUAGCCAUGUCACUAUAUAUUAUUAUAAUUUCAUUCUUUGCUACCAUGCAAAUUUCAAAGUAAUAGAUAAAUUGUCAAACAAACUUUUUUUUGAAGGAAAACUAUAAGAAAUUUUCAAAUAAACUAUUCACACCCAAAAGCGAAAUACGAUUUUGACUAGUGACAUAACUUACAAGACGCGUUUAAUGGGAGUCAAUUUUUAACGUUCACCAAACCAUGUUUCGUCUUUGAUACAAUUAUUAUACAAUUAAUAAAUGAAAACUUUUGUUUGAAUGCUUUGCUUUAUAGUUAGUUUGGAGACAUUUUUCCCCACUAGGCAUAGAUUUGCCUAUGGAAUAUUUUGACGAGAGGGCUUACUUAGCCUAUAGCAUAAUUUCUAGAUAUAUUAAGUGUCGUGUCGUGUCUUGAUUAAGACUCUAAUCUAACGUAUAAAAAAUUGCAUGACUCUUGUAGACAUACGGAACACCGAUUCUUCUUCUUUUUUGCUUCUUCCAUGAAACAAUUAUUUUGUCUAGAAUAUCUCAUCCAUAUAAUAAUGGUCCAAUAGAAUAUGGCAUAUCAAUGUUCUUUAGGUUACAUGCACGUAAUGAAUAUGGUACCAUGGGAUAUUUUAUCCCUUGUGCUCAACCUUAUGUUGCAGCAGUUGGGAUGUGAUGAUCAUCGAAGUGAUGAAAUCACCCCUUCCAAUAUGGUCAUAUCCAUCCAACUAAAAAUAAACACUACACAAUAAGACAACAACCAAACAGUGGCAAAAUCAACCAACAUGGUCCCUAUUGUUUCACAAAAUUGGUUUGUGACAACAUGGGAGGAUUUGAUCUAAUUAUUCUUUUCCUUAAUUAAAUUCAACAUGUGUUGUUACAAAGAUUCCCAUUCCUUUACUUUUGAUUUUACUGAACAGAAAAAGCUUUCUGGCUACGCAUUCUAAAGCACAAGACUAGUUAGUUCUGCUUAAUUUUUCUAGAUUCUUAAUGUGCCACAUCUGAAUAACAUGCAUGAUUCAUGAACCCUCUUCAUGCUUUACAUUAAGCAUAAUUUGAUAUGAUAAAAUUUAGUCCUUAGUUCUAGAAACAUAACCGUCCAACUCCCUUUGUAAAUUUUUUUAUUUUUUUUUAAAGCAGCAAAUGAUUAAAAAGGAGGGGUGAGGUUAACUACUGAUGCAACAAGACAUUAUGGGUCUAGUGGGGCUCACAUUUCUGUUUCUUUUUUUUCUCUUUUCUCAAUUCCAAUUAUUAAAUUUCAUUGUCUCUUGCCAGACAGCCAUAUACUCAAUUGUUUGAGAGAGAUGAUAGAUUAAGAUAUAUAUAUAUACACACAAGUUAGAAGAUAUGCUGCAUAAGAGGAGAGGCUUAAGGCUUUUCUUUACACUGUCCAAAUUGUGAAUUAUUUCAAGAAUUCCUUCCACACCUUCAAAGUUAGAAGCCAUGGAAACUUCUCAUCCUCUUUCUAUUGAAAGCUUCUCUUAUAGUUGGUUAGUGAACCUGAAGCCAUCACUAGAAAGCCUAGAUGGCUCCCUCAGAACUUCCCUUGAUGCUUCUGAUGAAACUUCUUCCUUCAUUGAAAUGGAUCCAAGAAUGACACCUUCUAAAAGAUUCUUCAGAAACUCCCAAGAUUUCAAAUUUGACUUCCCAAUCUCGCAGUCCCCUCGCACUCUUGUUGAUGCUGAUGAGCUCUUCUCCAAUGGCUACCUCAUGCCCCUUUUUGUUGAAUCAUUGAAGAUGGAAGCAUUUGAGGCCUCUGAUGUCAUUCCAAGCCUACCUUCCUCUUCACAUGUGCCAAAGAGUGUGGUUCCUAAUAGUCAUUCUAGAUGCCCUUCGUUGAAAAGGUGCAAAACAUUAUCAAGGAGAAUAUUUCUCAAGUAUCUCAACUUCUUAAGGCCCUUGUAUAGAAGAUUGAGGGGUGGCAAAUCAGGCUCAAAACCUGAAUCUGUUGUUAAGAGAACCGUGUCAGCAAAGAAUAGGGGAUACUAUUCUGAAACUUCCCCACGGAUUAGUGUAGCUUAUUCUGCUGAUGACUGGCGCAAGUCCUGUGAUUCUGAAAGCUCAAUUUAUGAAGCAGUUCUCCAUUGCAAAAGAUCCAUUGGUAUGUUCAAAUUCAUUGUGUAUAUCAAUUAAGCAUAUGUUGUGUUCAAGGUUUUAAAUUGCAGUCACGGUCACAAUUUCAUCGUGAUCUUGGAUAUUGCUGGCAAUUGUGGCUGCAAUUGCGAUCGCAAGAGUCCGAAAACUUUGACAUAGAGAACGAAAUUGUGGUCACAGAAACAUUUUUUAAAACCUUGAUGUUGUGUUCCCUUGAUGACAUUUUGUACAUUUUGUGUGGAACUAACUUGGACAUUUGACACUUCGUGUAUUGCAGAAAGAAUGAAUUAAGGAUGCUGCAAAAGGGUUGCGUUUGGAGAUCAAAAAUGCAAGAGAAAAGAGAAGAUAAAGUGAAAAGAGAGAGAUGAUCAAGGCUAAACCACCAAGAGCAACUCCUCUGCUCCAUUAUCCUCUGCUUGAAUGAUAAAGGAAUUAUAAUAGGAAAUAAAGAUGUGGUUGGUCAGGCAUAUUCAAUCUUUAUGAUCAAAUUCUGAAGAGAAAAAAAAUAUGUAGUACAAUUUUGUUUGAUCAUCUAAUUUAAUAUGGGAAGGAACACUUUUACUAAAGAUGAGAAUCUGCCUCCAAUUUCUGUUAAGUUAUUCUUCAACUGAUUUUGGAAUCAGAAAUGUGUGCUACAGAACAAUUAUGUACAAAUGAGUCUGAUAACUUGGUAUAUAUCUUAUCUCCUAUGUUAUUGCCUGCCUAUUACUUAAACACGAUCUAUGACAUGCCUUGAAAGAGGGUUUUUGAUUUUCUCUUUCUCCCUCUCUUUCUGUCUCUCUCUUCUUGUUCUCUUGUGUGCGCUGGGUGUGAACAGAAGGUAAGAAAAUGGAAAGAGGGAAAAGUUUUUCAUAGAGAAGUGAUUUAAGAAAGUGAGGAGUUUGAAAAAUUCUCUGCAAGCUUGACAGGCUUGUCACUUAUGCAAAUUUCAAGGUAAUGAUGAAGAAACGACACUUAAGGAGACAAAAUCUGACGACAAAUGUGCGGAGCCAUUGAAUUCUAUGUGGACACUUUUAGCACAAAUUCAUAAUAAAUCUAAUGAUGUAGAAAUGAGUGAUUUUUUUUUUUUUUUAUGUGUACCCCAAUUACUAUUGUUACUGUUAUUUUGAGAAGUACCUAGUGUUGUUUCUAACAAAAAGUUGCAACAGGAAAAAUGUGGAGGAGUGACUAUGUAUCAAAUUAAUAGCCUUGCAUAAAUUAUUAAACUUGUAGAUAUUUUUUAUUAUUACAAGUUUAAUUUAGUUUGGCCUUAAAACUGAUAAUGUGUUAGUUUAGCCCUUGAUAGUGUACAUUCAGACAUACUGAUUCUGAAAAGGUGAUAACUUGGUAUCAACACGAGUUAAGGAUUAGACUUUCACAAACUAAUGAAUCAAAGAUUUAAAAUUUUCACCGAAGAUGUUUAUAUUUGUGUAGUAUUCGUCUAAAGAGGGAGGAAUAUUUAAACAUAAUCUUUUCUUAUUGCAUGUGGUGAACUCAGACAUUCAAGUUAAUUAGAGUUUGUAGAAAGAGGUUAAGAAUAUAGAAAUUAGAUAAUAUACUUGAAACCUCACCGACUUAUAUUUACAUUCUUUUUCUUUAGGUUAUGAGAGUGUUUCUUAUGUUAUUCGGCAUUCCUCUAAGCUUAAAUUCUGUAAUUUGCGCUUGGACCGUGUCAGAUCUCUCAUGUUACACAACUAUAUGAAAAUCAAUGCAGAGUCAAAAGAUUCAUGACCUCUACAAUGCGUUCAACUUUAGAAACUCAUGUUUGGGCUUGCUGGUAUGGGAAACAAUGUAUUAACCACAAGAAAAAAAGUGUUCAAAAAUUCACAUUGUUGAAUAAAAGGAUCUAUUAUAUAAUUAAAUUAUACUAUAAACCGAUGAUAUAUUAAAAAGUGUACCUGUUGAUGAGCUCUUGAAACAUAAAAAUUUUUCAAUAGUGUGAAGUGAAUACUCUAUGUGUAUCCACACACCACCGACACUGACCUCUAUUCGUCAAUAACUUUGACAAUAAAAAUAAAGAAGUGACAUUGGGAUGCUUUCAACAUGUAGCCUAAGGCUGUGUCUAUAGCAUGUUAAGGAUAUCAACUUUCUGAUCAAAAUCAUUAUUGAUAGUAUCAUUUUUUAAGUUAUAUUAUUUCUUGUUAACUUUUAUUGCUAACCAUUUAGCAAUUAAAAUUAAAAUAAUAAUUGACUAAGUUAAACUUGUAUCUAGCAGUCUUUUCAACCCAAAUUCCAAAUACAAAAUUAUAUAUGUUUGUUUCUCUUCUUUUAUCAAAUAUUUCAUAUUAUUUAUAUUUUCAGUGCUAACAAAAAUAUAAUAAUAUUCCACCUUUUUUGAAAUUAAUUAAUUAUUUGAUCAUAUUAAAUUUUCUAAUUUAAUUAAUCAUCAAAUAUUAAAACAAUUUCUUUAACAGAGAUUAGAACACUCGUUCGUGUGUAACCCCGUGGGUUCAAUACUAAGUCGGUAAUAUAUUAAUCAAAAUAAUAUACUAAUCAAGAUAAGUGUCUAACAACACUUCUUAACGUCCGGAUAACAUGAAAUAACAUUUUACUUUCAAGAACCAUUAGAAGAAUAGUAUAAUAAUUUCUUCCAUCUUUAUAGCUAUGAGUUAACUCUAAAGUAUCGUAUUACUGUCAAACCCUUUUGAGUUAACUCAUAAUGACUUAAGAAACUAAUUUCUUCUCUCAUCAUGAUAUAAUUUUAUUCAUAGAGCUCAAACUCAUUACCAAGAGUUGAUGAAUUCCUUCUUGAUUAAUCAUUAAUUCUACAGGUAUUUAAUCAUAUCCAAUAUCCAUUCAACAAGUGUUUUAAAGUAUUAGGUGUCCGGAAUCAAAAUUCAAUAAAUAACCUGUUAAUUACUAUGACAAUCUCAGGUCAAAGAAAACUAUUAUACCUCUUCUUGAGAAUUUUCUAUUGACAGUUUAUGAUAAAUUUUAACCAUUAGAAAAUUUCAAUUGAGUCAGUUCAAUGAUCACAUCAACAUGUGACUCAUCUAUAUAUGCAAAUUAAUAAAUGAAAUCUAUUAAUAUUUAUCCAAUAAAUACUAUCACAUAUAUAUUAAUCUAUUCGGAUUAUUGAUAUCCUGUUUAUAAUAAUCUUAUGAUCAAUAACGAUUUAGAUUAAAAUUAGAACAAAAUAAUCUCUAUUAUAAUAACAAGUCUUUAAUUUUAAUCAAGGAUAUUAUCAAAUGGACCAUUUUAUCAAAUAGUGAAAUAUGAUAAUGAAAAUAAAAUAAUAUUUUAUUAUUAAAAUUAGAAUUAAUUACAUGAUAACUUGGAUCGUGAACAUAUAAAUUUAUUCUCAACAUUAACAUCUUUUUUUUUUUAUUGAGAGUCUAAAUUCUCUUGAUGAGAUCCAAGAUAAUAUUUAGUAUUAAUUCUAAUUAAGUUUUGAAUAGGAUUAUUUUCUUUAGAGAUAUUUUCGUGGAAAACUAAAAAAAAAACGACAAAUUCUAAUUAUUAAUCUUAAUUUAUCAAAUGUUUAGUAAUAGCAGGUAAAUAAUCUAGUUAGAAAAUAAUGUUACAUCAUGUCUUAAUGAUAUGCUAAAACAAAAAACAACAUUAUAAAAUUAUUAUUUUUAAGAUAUAUUUAAUGUUAAGGAUAAAAACAACAAACCAAUAUUUUCAAAACUUAAAUUUGUUUUAAAAAUUUCAUAUCCAAUUAAAAUUAGUUUAAGGAUAUGUCUAUGUAACACAAACACGGGUAAUUUCAAUAGUGAUAACAAUAAUGUUGGUGUCUGAAGUGGGAAUGAUGAUAAUAGUGAUAAUGAAAAUAGAAAUAAAAAUAUAAGGAGAUGAUGUUUUUUUAAAACUAAAGAUGAAAUUUAUAUUUUUUUUAUUAUGAAAAAGAAUAGAAAACUAUUUUAAAAUUAAGGUAAAAACUAUUUAAGCUCAUUUUGAAAAUACAUUUUGUUUUAGAAGUGGUAUUUAAACCAAAAACUAAAUAUUCACAACCAACUCAAAUGGAUAUAAGGUUAAAAUUAGCCAAUUAUAAUUAGCACCAAAUUGGAUAAUGAGAAAUACUAGCAACGCAUUUUUUUUAUAUAAUUUUUUUAACACACUUUUAACUAUAUGUGCUAAAAUUUAUUAAAAAUCUCAAAUUUUGAUAGGUUUUGCGAUCUUAUGAUUUUCUUUCUUAACCUUUUAGUUUUUGAUAAAUUUUGACGAAUAAUAGAGUUUAUGUUGAAAAUAAUGUAUUGUUAGAAUUCCUUAUUGAGUAAUUGACAAGAAUGUUUUUAAUGCAAAUUUAGGUUGAGUGAUGCGUUUUUUUUUUCUUGUAUAUGGAAAUAUAUUUAUAAAAAAGGAUAUAUAUAUAUAUAUAUAUAUAUAUAUAUAUAUAUAUAUAUAUAUAUAUAUAUUAUUUAGAGGAACUUCAUUAAUAUUUUAUUCAUUUUCAUUAUAAAUUUUUAUAUCUAAAUAAUAUCUUUAAGAUUUUAAAUAAAUAACAAUUUUUUUAAAAUAAACAAAAUUAUUCUUUUUUAAACAAAAAAUAUCAUACAUAUUAUUCUCAUUUCUCAACAAUGGUCUCUGGUGUCCCCAGUUUCCGGGCUACUUACUUGAGACUUACAGAUAAUGAACUCUUAUAUUCAUGAAUUUGAAUCCAAGUCAUAUCUUGGCCAUGGGUAGAUGGCUAUGACUUGUGCCAACUUGUUGGACAACUCAUGGGAGAAUGAUGUGAUGUUGGUAAACAUCCAUGAAUUAGUGCUAAAAGCUUGUGGGGGGGCAAACAUUCAUGAAUGAGUUUUUAGGUUAAAAGCACGUCUCUAAAACCUUCCACGAUGCGUUUAGGAUUUGUCUUCUCUAAAAUGUGGGGAAUUUUUUGGACAAAGAAAUGCGGGGGAAUUAAUAAAGGAUUUAUAUAUAGAUAAAAAGAAAUUAAUUGUAACACUCAACGUUAGAGGGAGAGGUAAAAAUACGAAAAAAACUAAUUUUAAUAUAUAUAUAUAUAUAUAUAUAUAUAUAUUAAUAAAUUAUAAGACUAUAAAUUCUUUUAUAGAAAAAUUAGAGUUUAAUUUACAUAUAUUUUCAAAAGAUAAUGAGAAGGAAAGGCCAUGAAUCCCUAAACGUGUCCUCUUUAGAUUCAUCCCUAGUACUAGGUUAGGUUUAUUGCGUUGGCUAGCUUGGCAUUUAAGUUAAUGUUUUCUUGUGUAUAUAAACGAGCAAUCAUCUAAGGUUUCGAGAAAGCACUUUGUAUUAGUAAGAAAUUAUAAAUUUAAGUAGAUAGUGGCACUUGAAUUAUACGAAAUCAAAAGUACUACAUGAUGAGUGUAAUCCCUAAUCUGGAAAUGUUUCUCUUUGGAUGUAUUAGGUUUUGCGCGCCAGUUCAUAUUGUUUUGAAUUGUGCUUUUUAAAAGCAAAAAGUAGCUAUCUAGCAUUGGAAAACAUAAAACAUGGAACCAUGACAAAGCUUUUGUAAAAAAAGGUAAACUUUAAUUCCAAAUGUAUAAGAUGGUUUGAUGCAUGAAAUUUGCAGAUACUGACUUGUAGUCACAAAAAUAAAAGGGAUAAAAAAAAGGUGAGGUCUUUCAAAGAUAAAGUAUAUACUCGUGUUUCGAGCUAAGUUUUGAACUUAUUUAUCUCUUGAGGGCCAAGUCUCAUCAUGUUAUGCCUCGUUGUGACUGAUUCUUUCAUGGACCAUAUAUGGUAGACCCCACCUCAUGCAUGCAUUUAUCAUCACUUACACUGAAGUUUGUGAAUGGACAAAGUAUCAGUUUUUUGUGCCCAAAUUAUUUACAGUUACUCUGUCUCAGAAGCAUUAUCAGUUUGAGUAAUGUUAUCAAUGGAAAGAUGUCCAUCCAACAAACUACAUAACUGAAUUUGAUAAUACAUCCAAUUCAAAAUAUUAUAGAUGAAUGACUAUUUAUACAGAACAAAAUAAAUUAACAUUAAUUGCAAAAUAAUUUCUAUGUAAUUUUUUUUAAAAAAAAUUGUCACUAUAAUUUGUGUGAUGCUAAUAUUAGUAACAAGAAAGUCAUUUUUGUUAUUAAAUUUUGUUACUAUUACAUUAAUUUCUUGCACAUGUAAAUGAAAUAUUGUAAACCUUCUAGUACCUCUAUUCCUGAUUCCUACGAAUAAUUUUUUUUAUUCAAUUUAUUUAUCUAUCCCUAUCUAACGUGGAACUUCUUGGCUCAAUUACUUUUUAACGUUUUUGUUUUUUUAUGUGGAAUUAAUCUAAGAAAAUUUACAAACUAUUGUAUCAGUUUUGUACUAUGAUGAGAGUGAUGAAUGGAGGUUGCAAAGCAGUUGGUACAUACAAUACUUUGUGUUCUCAGAAAGUUAGUAGCAUACUGCCAUAUAGAUCAAGUACAAGCCAUUCUUAUUGUGUUGGGAGCACCAUACAAGUAUUAGUUACUAGUACUACCUAAUGCUGAGAUGUAACCAGCAAUUAUGCUUCUAACAAUGAGAGCCAUUAUUAGAAAUGACAAUCAUAAUGGAAAAUGCUAGGGAACCCCAAAAGACAGGCAACUUCCACAAGCACAUCAACAUGUCAGUGUCUGACUUAAACCUGCCUGCACGUACAAAAGGUAGAUGCUGCCUCUUUGAAAUGUAAAACUGAAACUGUUAAAAGAAUAGUAAAAAAAAAAUCAUUGUUCAUGGCUGAGAUAGAAGUAGCUAGCUCCACAGUCAAAAAGGUUAUCUAGUACUAUAUAUUAUGUGAGUGCCACUUUAGUAUUCUAGCUACAAGCUGAUCCAUUGGAAAAGUCUAAGUUGUAGGUACCCCUUUUGGUAUAACUUCACCUUAAAGACUCAUUCAUUCUGGUGCUGGUGAAAAGAGAUGAUCAAAAACACAAAAUGGUCCCGAAAGUUAUGGGCCCAACAAGUGAUGGGUCUUGAAGGCUCAAGUGUAAGUAAGAGUUAUUGCCAUAUGGAAUCUAACCCAAAGUUUUUGCUGGGCCAAUGUUAGCCAUUGAUAGUGGCAAGGGACUUUGGUAGAGCUACAAGUUCAUCACAUGCCAACAGGAGUGAGAAGGGGACAUGGAUAUGACGUGCUAGGAGAAAUGCCAAUCUCUGGUUACUCUACUUUCUCUGCUUCUUUCUACUUCUUUUUGUCUUCCUCUUUGGAUUUUAUACUUUGCGGUGAGGAAAGCACAACAGUACCAUUAUCACAUUGUUUUUCUAUUGUUUCUACAUCAGCUUAGGUUGUAGGGGACCAGAGCUCACACAUAAUGCAUGUUCAUGAUAUUGAUCCUUCCACUAUAUAUGGCUCUUAGCAAAAUUAUAGAAAUCAUAUAUAGCUGCAUCUUUCACUAAAUCUAGAGCCAUAGGAUCUUCAAUUAAUUAAUGAAACAAGUAAAAAUAUUUACUUGCUAUAUAUACAACAGUAAGUUGAUCUAGCAAAGCAAAAAUUGAAAGGGUAUACUUAGGUUAACUGAAUAGAUUAAACUGCCAAAUAUGAAUUCUAACUUUAUAAGUGUACGUACAAGUUUGAUCUCUUACAAUACACUCAUCCCCUUUCUCACUUCCUUAUUUUUUUUUAUAUUUCCUCUUUGAAUGACCAAUUAUGAGCCUCAGAAGAAGAAAGGGAUAAAAUGCAUGUUUUCCUUUUGCCCUACAUUUAGGGUAAAAGGGAUGAUCAAAAGUUCUAUAAUUAAUCAAAAAGAAAAUUAAUUAAAAAAUAACUCUUUCUGCUUCACUUUUACAGUAGACCUUUGAUCUGUAUGUGAUGUACCGAGGUUAUAAUCACCUAGAAAGUUUGAACUGAGUCAAGGCUAUUAUAAGACUUUUAAUGAUGAAUGUCCAAAAAAGUGAGAGAUAUGGGGCUCAAUUUUGAAAACAACCAUAAGGAUAAAAUAUGUACAUAGGUUAAUGAGGUAAAAUCGCUCUCCCAAUGUUUGCAUCAGCACCAGCAUUGUAACAACAUAAAUCUAAGAAUUUAUGCCUUAGUGUAAGAGAAUGUAAAUAAGGAUCCUUUUCAUUGUUUAGGCAUGAUGAUUACUAGGUAAAAAAUUAUGCAAUAAUUAACUCAAACCCAUCUUUGAGACAUCGAGCCGACACAACUUCAGAUUGAUGCGGACACACUACGUUUCUUGUGGCAUAAAGAUGCUACUGAACAUAAUAUUAGGAAUGUGAUGGUUAAAUAUUGCUGCCCCUUGUUCUAAAGAAAUUGUUGUAUUUUAUCGUGUCUUUUCUUUGUUUUUUUCUUUGAAGAUUCGUGUAUCUUGUCUAAUAGCUAAACAACGUUUUUCAUUGAAAGUAGACAAAGUGGAUAAGAAAAACCUAACAAAUUGUAUGCCCAGUUUUCAUGCAUGCAAUUAAUCGCAUAAACAUUACAACAUUAAUCGUCCCCGACUAUAUAUAUAUAUACACAUACAUACAGUACACAAAUGUCUAGCUUUGACUAUGAAAAAUAGCGAUAACGGCAAUUUUACCUACUCUGUUGCCAUUAUAACAAAUUAAACGAGAUAAUUAACGUGAUUGGAAAAUAUGUUUGUUUUAAGUUUUAACUAGUUUUUUUUUAAAGCCUUCUUUGUACCAUUCGUAAAGACAGGAAAUUAGAUCAAUCAAAAAUAGGUGAUGAUAACCAAGACAUUUCUAUAGUUUAUAUUCGAUUCUUCACUAAUUUACACUUGAGAUGAGAUAAAUAUUAAUCAUCUGUGUAAAUACCUUUUUUUUGAGUCUAGAAGUGUAUCCUGCUUUAGGCUUCAUCCUCAGCUUUCACUCCAUAAGAAAGAAAUCAGUGUGGUUAAGGUCGUAUUGUAUCCAAUGACAUGUGAUCUGAUCUGCAACUUAAAAACAUUUUUUUUUAUAUUCCACAAUUAUGGUCAUUGCUGCAAUUGAAAUGUUGCAGCCACAAUAUGUGAUGUGAUCUGCAACUUAAAGUCAUUUUUUAUGAUAUUCUUGAGAGAAAAUUCUCAACAAUCAGCUAGAAUAUGUUAAAAUAAAAAAAAAAUUAAAAAAACUAGAGUAUGUGUGAUGUAUAUGCUCUACCAAAGUUUAUUAUAAUUCUCAAAGAUAUGUAGCAUUAUUGAAUAUCCAUGAAACAAACAUGUCAAUUCACGGGCUUAGUUGGAAUUUUUUAUUUUGAGAAAAAAAAUUCUAGUUUUUAUUUUUACUUACAAAAUUUUACACUCUUUUUAUUUUAUUUUCUAUUUUCAAGGUAGCAUCUUAGUAAUUAAAAAGAGAAAAAUAAAAAUGAAAAUAUAAAGUAUUAGAUUUUUUUCAAACCAUCCCAAAUAAUCUCUUCAUUUCUCCUCUUUAUUGUUUAAAAUACGACUUUGAUCUAUCUUAUGUAUUUUUUUUUGUUUUCAGUGUUUUCUGUAUAAAUAUUUGAAAGCAGUAAGCAUACUAAAAGAAAGUGACAAUUUUAUAAUUAAAAACAAAAACAGAAAAUAAAACACAAGGACUCUAAAACUUUAUGCUAUAUGUAUAUUGAUAGAGUUUUCUGAACCACAACUAAAAUUUCAUUAUCCAAAUCCUUCACCAUUUUGGACUACUCAUCUGGCUUAUCUUUAAGUAUUGGUGAUAGAGCACCGUGAUAUAUAGCUUAAAUUAACAAUUGUGGCCCAAACAAAUAUGUCACGGAUAUCAUGUGUAUUCAGUUGACAAGUUAGGGGAGGAGCACUAUAUUAUAAUCUUUAAAGACGUAAGUUACCAUACUAGAUAGUUCCGUAGCUAUAAAUUAAACAGAACAUCUUUGCAGGGAGAAGUUUGUAAUGGAUACAUGGAAUAGAGCGAUACAAGCCAAAUGCCAAUUACAACUAGUAUAUGUUCCAAACCUUAGGCUCUUUAUCCCUAUAAACGACUUGGUACAUAGACACAUGGAGAAAAAUAUCUAGGAGACGGAAAUCUGGUUACAUUAUGCCUGUUGUCGGAAGCAAUUGUUCGAAGUAUUAUAAAUAUAUAGAUAAGAAUAAGCCAACAAUAUAUCACAUAAUAUCAUAUUUAACACAAAAAGUAUAACUCAAGUUGUUUUUGGUCUGAGUCCCAAGUAUAGUCACACACUUUAUGCCGUGAUUAAUUCAAAUCGAUCUAAUUAAGAGUAUUAUCCUAUCGAAAGGGCAUAGUUUCCUCUUAUUAUAUAUAAUUUUUUUCAUUUAUAGGAUUAAAAAAUUCAAGAUAUUCUAUGUAAUUUAGGUCGUUGAAUGCAAUAUUUUAUUAAAUGCAUAAGGGCAAAUCGAUCAUCAUGAGAUUUAUAAUGUUUUUCAGGGAAGAAAAAUAUAGUGAAAUUAUAUAUGGAAUUCAUUGUCUAUUAAUGCUAUAUAUUUUCACCCAUUUUCUCCUAGCUACUUGUUCCUGAUACAAUUGAACCGGAUGUCUUUCUAUCAAAAGAUCUUUUGUUUGGUAUUUCUUGUCAACGUCUUGAAUGCAUGAGUAUUAUGUGGAGUGAAAGUGAGAGAUACUUACAAAAAACACACUCCAACAUUCAAGUGAGGAUUUGACUUAUAAUCAUUAAUGAUGUAUAGUGAGUAAGUAAGGAUGAAUCAAUCUUUUAUUGGGGUCUACCAUUUUUUAUACUAACCUUGUUACGCCUGGGAUCUAUGGGUCUAUCACAUCAUAAUUAUCGGUUGAAUAAUGCUUCUUCUAAUCAUGCUUAGUCGCUUUUAAUUGAUCAAUGAUUUCCCUUAGUGUAACAAUUUCUAUAUAUAACAGCACGACAAAUUGCGAUUUGCGUCAAAUUGUGAAACCUUCAAUACAAAUGAAACAUGUGAUCCAUGAUUAAUAACUUACGAAGGCAUGAAUUAUCGAAUAAGGGUAUGAAGAAAUUGAUUUGACUAACAGAAAUCAAACAAAAACCAACGAAGGCAUGAAAAAUCCCUAAAAUAUAUUAUUUAAAUCAAUGGUGGGAAGAAGAUAUGAGUAUUUUUGUCAUAAAAAUUCUCUUAAAGGAUCAUGUGACUAACUGUUCCUAACUGGUCGGCAAGUGUACCAAUUCGAACAAGUAAUAUAAAACAGUAAGACCGAGUAUCGUAUUUUCAGAAAAUUUGUUUCACUCAGAUACUGUACAUCCAAUAUACAAACAUUUAUAUAGAUUAAAAGCAAGUAAAUAUCAAGUUGAAUUCUGUACUAAAGUCUAUUUGAACUUAAGCUAAAUAUCUAAAAUUUUGGAAGUGAAAACAAUCAAGUAAAAAGCGUUGGGUCGUUCUACUGAAUUUCUCUUGAUGCUAAUAUGUAUUUUUCUCUAACUAACAUUAUCCUAGUGUUCUUAUGCUGAGAAAUUACUCAAACCAAGAUCCCUCUAGUGAAUGAGCUUAAUUUUCUUUAAACUUCGUCCUUGAUCCCUCAACAAACUCGAUCUAAAAGAGUUGCAUUAAGUCUACAAUAUAAUAUGAACUAGAUCACUGCACUCCGUUCCUAGACAUAUAGAUUUCUAGCUUGCUCUACCAAGUUCUAAGGCUUUAAAGCAUUUCCUAAUGCUAAAAAUCCUAACUAUACAUACAAAUGGGUGAUCAAACCACAAAUAUGUAAAAUAAGCAUAGAUAGAAGUAAUGAACACAUAAAAAUGACAUUAAAUAGAUAGUGAACGAGUGUUACAUCUAGGUUUCAGCCGAACUCCCCAACCAAAAAAUUUCUCAUUAAAUAGAUAGUGAACAAUAAUUAUAGAAUAAAUAAAAAUUUCUCAUAAAAUAUAAUCUUGAAAACGGGAUGAUAAACUUUAAUUGUGAUGAACACUAUGCUUCUAGUUAAAAAUUGAUAUAGUAUAAAUUCUGGUUGUGGAUUGCAUUGAUAAAUUUGAUAUAUAUAUCAACUUAUUUGUAUAUAAGUAAGUCAUUUUAAAACAUGCAUGGAAAUCAACAGGUGAAUGGCACAGGUAUCCCACUAGUUUUAGAAUGCAUGGUCACCGGAACAGUCAAACUCUUCUGUUUAUGUUUAACUAAUGGAAGAUUAUUAGGCAAGCAAACUCAUAAUAUUGUGUUUUGAAGGACACAUUUCUAUAAUAUAUAACAAAUAUCCUCAGAUAGAGUGUAAAUUGAUCUCUCUGCCAUUUGGUAGUGGGGUAGAAGCUUCUAAAUCAAUCUCUACGGAGUCAUGGCUCGUGUAUCCAAGAGCUAGACACUUCUUUUCUGGCCUUCUUUUUCCAUGACUUAUGGCAAUGGCAUGGUCAUUGGGGAAGAGGUCUUUGAAGACUAAGGCAUGCAAUAUAGUUGAUACAAGCACUGCUGCUAUUAUGAGUGUGGACAUGAGACUGAGUAUAACACUUAGCGUCUUUGUAACUACAUUUGUGACCUCAUUUGCGUAUCUUACGGUUGCAGAUGCUGUACUAGCCAUUGGAAAAGUAUAGGCCCACCAUGCAAGCGAGAAUCUGUGCAGAAUAACAUCCAAGGUAAUUUUGUCAGAAAUAAUAUUAAAUAGUAUAAAAGUAAACAAUAUAAGAGAAACAGUACGUGAAAAUUAUACAUACGUGAAUCCUCUGAAAAAAUUGACCCGGACAGCCUGCAAAAAUCAUAUGAAACUACUAAUUGAGUAAUUUGGAUAUAAGAAAUCUAUUAAGAAAGCAUGUGAAAAUUAUACAAGCCUUGUUUACUUAUUUAGAAAUAAGUAAUUUAUGCAUAUUUACGGUGUAUAGGAUUUUUAUAGUCUCAUCUCAUCACAAAUUGUUAUGGGUAAUAAAUUUGUUGAUUUAUAUAAUAAAAUUUAGUAUUUUAAAAGUCAUCUCAAUAAUAAUUUUUAAUUAACUAAUAACAUAAUUUUUUUUGCAACGAUAGUAAAUAAAAAUUAAACUUUUUAAAAAAAAAUUUGCUGACUUCUCUUUUAUAUAUAUUAUUAUUCUUAUACGUUGCAUUCCCUUAAAAAAAAUGCACGUUCAUCGUCAAUUUUUAUGUUCAAAUAGUACAACCAACACCUUUAGAAUAACAAAGGGUGUAAUAGUAGGAAUAAAAAAUAAUACUAAUAUGCUAAAUCAACUUAGUUAGAUCUUUUUGUAUAAGUAUUAAUGCUAACUUUGUAAUUACUCGGUAUAUAAUCAUUUCUAUUUCAAAUUAUAAAAGGAAAGAAAAAGAAAAACUUACCAAAGAGAAAUAUAGGAAGAGGCCAAUGAAAUAGGAAAUCCGUGAUCCAUAAUCAAAAGAAUCCUGAAUGCUGGCCCAUGCCAUGGAAGCAACAACAGGUGGUGCAACAAACAUAAAGAACACAGGAUGUAGCUCUUUUGGGAGGGUCUCAUUUGUUGGAAGUCUCUGGUAGAGAGUUACAAACACAACUAUGUAGUGGGCCAGCCCAAUAGCAUAGAAGAAAAUGGGCCCUUCUUUGAGGCCCAUGGAAGCCCCAAGUAAUGCUCCAACAAAAUUUCCAACAACUGAUAAAUGGUUUGUUGGAUUGGCCACCUUUGAGAGCCUCCUUGUGCCCCCAGACAUCCACUGUCCAUAGAUUUUGAGUUCAAGACACAAUAUUGGUGUCAUAAGAAUGUACCAAAGAGCAUUGGGCAAGUCUUUUGUAACUGAUGGUGGAACACCAUGAGCCAAGAACAAGAGAGAUACCCAUGGUGCAAAGAAGUAGUUAACACGGAUAGGAUGGUAGUACUCACGACGAACUGCUUCAAAGUAGAGAAUGAUUUUGAGAAGAUAGGUGGUGAAAACUGUGGCAGUAAGAGCAACGGAUAUGAACCAGAAUAUUAAGUUGAUUUUGAGGCUUAUGUGAAGAAAUUUAGUGGAAGGAGAUGUGGCAAUUGCUUUCCAUAGAAUUGCUUGGCUGCCAACUCCAAGGCAAAUACCAAAAGAUGAAACAGGAAACCGAAGAAGAAAUGGCCAUUUCCUGUCCUGAGGAAGAACUGUCUCUUCUGAGGCCUGUUGGAGUAGGAAAAAUAAAUUGUUAUAAAUUAGAGUAAACUACACAAAACUCCCUGAGAUUUUAUAAAAUUAUACAAACAUUUCUUUCUUUUUUAACAUUUAUACUAGCAUUCCUUCAGGAGAGUUCGAUGUAAUGUUUUUCAAACAAUUAAGGGGGGUGGCAGUGUAUAUUUUGAAAUAACUAAGGAUGGUUAAUGUAAAAUAUUGGGGGGUGCCAGUGUAUACACUUUUGAAUAACUAAGGGGGUUAGAGCAUGUUUGGGAAUCUAUCAUUUCAGCAGCUUUACUAACAUUUCAGCUGUAUAUAUAAAUUGUAGGAGUAAAUCAAGACAAGAGGUGUAUGUGUAAUUUCAUGAAACUUUAGGAAAUGUUAGUGUAAUUAACUGUAUAAAUUAUAAUCUUCAAUAAGCAAAAGCAACCAUACUAAGUUACUAACAAAUUAUGGGGAAGAGGAAAACAAAAGUCUAUAGAAUUAGGAUGUUCAAUAAGUAAAUUAUGGUGGUGUACCAAAAGCUUGUUAGUUCAAGUUGCAUGAAAUUUGAAUUGACAGAAGAAGGCAUGCACAUACCCUGAGUGUUUCUAACUCUGGACCUUCCAAUGCAUCAUAAUACCGAUGAACAGGUAAAGGCCUAUCAGUGCUCCUGGAGUUGUUGUUAACAUCUUGUGGAGUUUCUCUUUGUCGCUUUCUUCGUAGAAUUGAUAGUUUUCUGUUUAGACUCCCUGACCAUGUUUUGAAAGAGUCAAACCUCUUGUCCUUGAAUGCUUUGAUGCCAGGAUGAUUAUCUGCCUCUUGGUGCUCAUGGCCUUCUGGCAUUGGUUGAGAGUAACAUUUUGAUGGCUGUGGAUGACUAGAGCUAGCAGUUCCUGAUUGAGAAGAGGAAAUGGGAAUACCAUCAUCUAUAAUGGUGUCCAGUGGUUGAAGCUGAGCUUCUUCAGAACAAAGUGGCAUGCUGAUAGAAAUAGAUAACUUCCUUUGAUGAUGGAUGACUGCAGAUUCAUCAUGUUCUCUUUCUGGUGAGAUUGCUUCACUUCCCUAUUGCAAACAUGGGAACAGUUUGAUUUUACUAAUCUCUUAAAAUAUAAACAUAGAAAUGGUAUAUUGUAAAUUGCUUACAAUUUAAAAUGAUAUAGCCAUAUAGGCACUCUAAAUACUACAUGUCAUAAAUUAAAAGGAACUCAAUUUUGCAGGUGAAGUACUGAAAAAGAGUCUUACUUUUGCAGUUGGCCUGGGAAGUUGAGUGUCUGAAGUAUCAAAGCCAGCAAUUUCAUUUGAUGAUAUAUACCUAAUAAGCGAUGGAACUUCAGGGGAGCCUUGUUCUGCAAUUUCAGUGUUUAUGAUGUUUUUCUCCAUGCUAGACCUGAGUAAGAUAUAUUAGACUCCCUUGGACUUAUAGCUUUGCGACGAAUUUAGAGGAUCUAAUUGGUAAGCAUAGAUGUAUUAACAAUGGCAAAAUCGAUAUCCAAAUUUGAUAGUGAACAAAAAGAUGAGAUGGGUUGCCAAAGAAGUAUGCAUGAGCUAUCAAUUAUACCUUUCUCCCAUUAUAGAUACAAAGUCACAAAGACAAUCUUGUACAUCUAAAUGUUUACAUUUAUCCACUUAGUUCACAAAUUACUUAUUUUUUCCAUAGAAACUAUGUUCCUGAAAAGGUACAGCAAAUCCAAAAGGCAUUGCUAAAUAUGUAGGAACUAGGUAGUCAAAAUCAGCUAAUAUGCAAAAUAUCUUUUUCUCUAAUCGAGAAGCCUUCCCCCUUCAUGAAAGGUACUUGGCUAUGUUUGACUUUCCGUUCGAAGUUCUCCAAAUUCAGUUUGGAGAGUAAAUUCAGUUUUAUGACAUGUUUGGCUACAUUUAAUAGUACCUUUGCAUAUUAAAAUUUUGAGUAAAUUCAGUUUUGUAAAAUUUCAGUCGCUUUUGUCUUCUCUGAAACACUGUUGACAUUAGUCUAUUUUGGAUGAAGCCAUAAAUGCAUGAAACACUCCCCAGAUAUUAAUUCAAUUCAAUUCCUAUUGGUCAUGGAUCCAUAUUCCUUGUGAUGGGGCCAUUAUUGAAUUAUGGUGAGAUGCAAAUCAUAUAAGUCUUUGAAGUAAGGAAAUAAAAGACUAAUGCAAUUACCUAAAAAGUUUCAACACUACACACAUUGCAGACUUCAAGUUUGCACUACUAUAACUAUAUGCACAUAAUACAUAGCUGGGUAAUGGAGAAAGAAAUUCAUUGUGCACGGGAAGGAGAAUUAAAAGAAAAAGGAACAAGACUCAUAACCUUUAGCCUUUUCUCUUAUCUUCCAGAGGACUGGUUGUAGAAAGCUUGGAUAACGUCCUUUUGUUAGUUAACAAAAAGAUCGCUAGAAUUUGAAUAUGAACAAAAAGAUAGAAUUUGAAUAUGAACAAAAUUAGAAUUCACGAGACAAAAUGCACCACAUGCUUAAAACAAAUGACGGUGGACCAAGAUAUAUGGCUUAAAGUCCAUAGGAUUGGGAAGAUGAUUUAUAUAUAUGGUCUAAGGCUUUGGUAGUGCAAAAUGUACUUUGCCGCCGUAACCUUGAAAAGUUGGGUUCUCAUUUUUUAUAAUCACAGCUACUUAUUUGAUUGAAAAUGACGCAUCCGACGAAGAGGAAAAAGAAGCAUAAAAUAUUGUUUUAGGACAGGUAACAAAGUAUAUUAACUUUAAAAUGACUUCAAAUCAUUAAUUAAUUGCCCGAGUUACUAUUUCUGGAUGAACAACUGUGUUUGACAAGAUAUAUAAAAAUAUAUUAAGUGGGUGCAUUCCAGGGUGCAUGAUGAACGAUGAUGAUAAUAUUGUCAAAAGAGAAAUUCUAGCACCCAUAUUGUAAUUUGUAAUGCCCUUUCUUUAAUACAUAUGUGUUUUAGGGUUAAAAAUUAUCGUUGUGACACUUAAUAUGUAGAGAAACUUGCAUCACCUCAUGGGUUUUCAAUCAAUUGUGUUAAAGAUUAUUUUUAUAGUAUUGGUUGUAAAACGUAUAUCUCAUAGUCACAUAAUUCGUCAUUCGCUUCGGUACGUGGGGGUGUAACAAGCCAAUUGGCUUCGGUAAGCUUUUAAGAUAAACUUAUAAAUGUAGUAAUUUACUUGUAAUUAGACAAUAAAAAAUCAUAGAUGUUUCUGGGUCGUUGAUCAUUAACCUCUAUCGUGAAAAGAUAAGAGUAGAGGUUCUUUUAACGUACGACCACAAAAUUUCGGCACUAGAUUUUCCCGUAAACUACAAACAAGUCCUUGGAUGGAACAAUGUAAACCAUAAAUUACUUAUUAAAACAUUAGAAGACAAGAGGGUAGGGUGAUAUUCUCUCCCCGACUUCCCUCCCCAAACCAAAACAAGUGGACAAGAAGAAAUGAGGCCAAAGGUUAAUGGAAUAUGGAGAUUUUAAUUUAAAAUGUUGUUUCUGUGCAGGGGUAACAUUUAUUGUGUCUUUUAAUUUUAGAGAAUAUUUUUAAGAUGCAUGUAUAUAAGAAAGAUAUAUAAAGAGUAAAAGAUACAAAUAAUUAUAUACAAUCACAUAAGAUGCCAACUAUUAGAUGUUUAAAUAAUAAUGAGAGCCUGGAUUUUAUGGAAUGAGCCAUUAGCUAGCAAGCAUAUUAAAAGAUUGAGCAAGUUUGAAGUAAGCAGCAGCCAAAGUCAAAGGAUUAGCAUGAUUUCGAUUUUCACUCUCAGUCCUUACUCCUUAAUUUUAUCAGUAGAGCAAAUACCCAGCAGCAAUUGCUGCUAAAUUUGAAUUGGAGGGGUUUCAGGUUUGAACUUCAGGAUUCUUAUCUAUAACGGAAAGACAUAUUUAUCAGGAAAUUGAAGAUGUCUCCAACUCACAUUUUGCGAACCAAAUUGAAAACUGUUAUGGAGGUUACAUCGACCUUCAAAUCCUUAACUCCACGUUGCUCUAUCAAUGCAGUACUUCCAUAACCUAUGAAGGACGGACACUCCGGUCUCUUGUCGUGUCUGGCGUCCAACACGUGUCCGUGUCAGUGUUCAACACCCGUACUACGUUCUAUAUUUUGGACAUUACAGGUGUCCAUGUAUCCGUGUUCAUGUCGUGUCCGAUGUCUGUGUCGGUGUCAGUGCUUCAUAAUCCAUAACAAGAUUGUGGAAGCUCUCCAAACCGAAGUCAAAAGAUGAAGUUAUUGCUUUACUGGUAAACACCAUGGUAGAAUCUUUCCCCUCCAACAAUCCUCAAAAAAAGGGGAUUUAUUACGCUAGUAUGUGCAACUAACAUUUUUAUAAUUUCCUCUUUUCCCUAGCUCACAACUAACUUUAGCAUCAGAUUCUCUACAAGUGUCGUCACUUGAGAUAAUAUAGACCACCACUAGCCACAACCACCUAAGCCUUGCCAGAAACUCCUUCAACGCCUCCUCAUGAUUUUUACAUAACAACAUUGGCAUGGUUAGAAAGUUUGAACAAAGAAUAUGAUAAGCUUGUGUGUGUGGUUGUGCAGGAGAAAAAAAAAACAUUUUAUUGUUACUAAUGACUAACUAUUCAAUCUUCCUUAGUAUCAAUGUGUCACUCUAUUUAACUUUAGGGAUCUUUCUUCCAAAUUAUACAUUUUUACAUCUAUAAGAUUUGAAUCUAAUCUAAAAUUUUAUUUAAGAGAUACAAGCUAAAUUAUUUUCAUUUUAUUUAUUUUUUGUUUUUUAUUGUUCCGACUUGAAAUAGAAGAGUCAAUAGUUUUGGUAUAAUUUUUAAAAUAAUUAUUAUAUAAGUCAAUAGUUUUCAGUUAUAAGAUAAUUUAUAAUAUGAUAGUAAAAUAAUUUUUUAUAUUAUACUCAAUGAAAUAUGGCCACGUCAAUUAACGACGAGGUACCGAAUUUCUUUGUACUGUACAACGGCCCAGAUUUUUCAUAGUAAAUUACACUAAUCAUCAUUUAGGUUGUGUGAAAUUAAAAAAAAAUCUGCUUUAUUAGUAACAGUAUAAUGUUUUUCAAUCAAUUAAGGAAGUUAGUAUAAUUAUAUAUAAAUAAGUAUUAGUGUAUAUAUUUUAAAAAUCAAGAAAGUGUAAGAAUAGAUAAGAGCAUGGAGAAAUUGUGUAAUUUUAUAAUAUUUCAGGAGUAAUUAGUAUUAUUUAUUUAUUUAUUGAGGAAUUGACUCCUAUUUUAAAAACCCCAUAUGUUAUAUCUGAAAAGUGAGAAAAUAUGUUUAUAUCAUCCUAUACAUGCAUUGAAAGCAUGUUUGGUCCAAUCUGAUUAGAUCCAAAGGACACCACAUUUGUGCUAAGUGGAUAUGCAAAGCCCAUCCUUUGCCAUUCAUUUCCUUUGACUCUAUGAUUCUGAUUAUUUAUUCAUAUAGUACAACAACUCGCUCAUUUUACAAAAUAUAUAUAAUGGUGGGAACUGUUUCUACAAAAAAAAAAAAACUGCUCUUCCUACACAAACCUUUAUAUUCUACAGAUACAUGGUCACUGGAACAGUCAAACUCCUACUUUUGUUCCUCACAUGUGUGACUAAUAAAGAUUAUUAGGCAAGCAACUCAUAACUAAAUUUCUGUGUCUUUCAAAGGACACAUUACUAUAACAGCAAAUAUCCUCAGAUAGAUGGAGUAUCUUCUGUGCCAUUUGGUAGUGGGGCAGAAGCUUCUAAAUCAAUUUUAUCCGAGUUCACAAACUUCAAGUAAUUUUCAAUCUCUUUGGAAUCAUGGCUCCUGUAUCUAAGACCUAGCCACUUCUUUUGUGGCCUUCUCUUUCUGUAACUUAUGGCAAUGGCAAGGUCAUUGGGGAAGAGGUUUCUGAAGACAAAGCCAUGCAAUAUAGUUGAUACAAGCAAAGCUAUUACUAUGAGUGUGGAGAUGAGACUCAGUAUGACACACAGUGUCUUGGUAACUGGAUUUGUGACCCGAUUUGAGUAUCUAACGGUUGCAAUUGCUGCACCAGUCAUUGGAAAAGUAUAGGCCCACCAUGCAAGAGAGAAUCUGCAGAAUAACAUCCAAAAAAAAUUGUCAGAAAAGUUCUAUAGUAUAAAGUAAACAAUAUAAGAAAAAGUAGAUGUAACAUACGUGAAUCCUCUGAAAAAAUUGAUCCGGACAGCCUGCAAAACAUGUGAAACUACUAAGUAAUUUUGAUAUGCAUGUGAAAUUUAUACAAAAUAUAUAUGAAAACUAAACAAAAAUGAUUAUGAAUAUUAGAAAAGGCUAAUAACAUUGAUUUGUGCUGCGAUUAGUACUAAUUAUACUAAGCAAUUUAUCUGGAAUAUACUGACACGGUAAAGUUGUUUAAAAUAUCAUCUAGUCAUGACUUGUAAUAUAAGUAAAAUCUGUUAACUUUUCUGAUAAUUACUUUAAAAAUUAUAUCUUGAGUGAUUUCUUAUUAAUUAACACUGUAAAAAUCUUUAUGCUGACAAAAUGUCAAAUUAAACCUAUACUUAAACCCUACUUAAAAUUAUAGUCACCUCAUUUUAGUAUUACUGUUACAUGUUUGAUUGUCAUAUUACAAGUUCAUCUUCUACUUUUAAGAACAGAUCUUACACAGGGUACCUUUAAAACUACAAAUGUAAGGGAAGUGCAAUUUUCUAAACAGCUAAGGUAUAAGUGUGAUUAAAUAAUCAUUCCUAUUUUAAUAUACAAGGGUGAAAAAGAUAAAAUAACUUACCAAUGAAAAAUAAAGGAAGAGGGCAAUGAAAUAGGCAAUUCGAGAUCCAUAAUCAAAAGAACCCUGAAUAUUGGCCCAUGCCAUAGAAGCAACACUAGGUGCUGCAACAAACAGAAAGAACACAGGAUGGAGCUCUUUUGGGAGGGUCUCAUUUGUUGGAAGUCUCUGGUAGAGAGUUACAAACAUGACAGUGUAGUGGGCCAGGCCAAUGGCAAAGAAGAAAAUGGGCCCUUCUUUUAGGCCCAUUGAAGCCCCAAGUAAUGCCCCUACAAAGUUUCCAACAAUUGAUAAAUGGUUUGUUGGAUUGGCCACCUUAGAGAGCCUCCUCUGGCCCCCAGACAUCCACUGUCCAUAGAUCUUAAGUUCAAGACACAAUAUUGGUGUCAUUAGAAUGUACCAAAGAACAUGGAGCAAGUCUUUGGUAACUGAUGGUGGAACUCCAAGAGCCAAGAACAAGAGAGCUAUCCAUGGUGCAAAGAAGAAGUUGACACGGAUUGGAUGGUAGUACUCACGACGAACUGCUUCAAAGUAGAGAAUGAUUUUUAGAAGAUAGAUGGUGAAAACUGUGGUAACAAGAGCAAUUGAUAUGAACCAUAAGAUUAAGUUGACUUUGAGGCUUAUGUGAAGAAAUUGAGUGGAAGGAGAUGUGGCCAGUGCUUUCCAGAGAAUUGCUUGGCUGCUAACUCCAAGGCAUAUACCAAAGGAUGAAAUAGGAAACCGAAGAAGAAAUGGCCAUUGCUUGUCCUGAGGAAGCACUGUCUCUUCUGAAGCCUGUUAGAGUAGGAAAACAAAAUGUUAUAAUCUUCAAUAUGCACAAACAAUCAAACUUAGGAAAUUUUAGGGAAAAGAAAGGGAAAUUCCGUAAAAUUUGGAUAUUCAAUUAGUAAAUUAUGGUAUUGUUGAUUUCAUGCAAAUGAAAUAUGUCCACAAAAGGUUCUUAGUUUUUGCAAAUCUUAGUUGUUAAUUAUUAGUUUUUUGUUAGUGGGGCCGGAGAAUCAAACCCACCACUUUUUUCUCCUUCCCUUCUCUUUUUACCACAAAACCAUUAUAAAGCCUCCAAAAAGUUCUUACAUGCAAGAAAUUUGAUUUGGAAAACACCUUAAAAACUGAAAGUAAUAAGAACCGAGCUACUUAAGUACUCCACCAAACAACUUAUACUGCCCAAUGUGAGACAAAAGUACUUCAUAAUACCUAAUACCAUCAGAUGCACUCUAUCAUAAUACCUUAUCAUGGCAGCACCCCUGAGCGCCGAUGUCUUAUCAGAUGCACUCUAUAGCCUUUAUGGUGAAUCCAUCUGUAAGUAGUCUUUUUCGAGACAUUGACAACCAGUUCUAAUACCAAUUGAUAACGAGUCUUGAAAAUGAAAAUAGCGAGCGUCGGGAGUGCUUAACCCAUAAGCAGUUUUUCUAGCUAUGUUCUGGUAAGUCAUGGAUCAGAGUGAUUCACUCAUGUCUAAAUAAAUAUACUUGCAUGUUAGACUAAGUUUCAUUUAAGAUUAAGACACAAGACAGUAAUCAGAAAAAGAUUUUGGAUCUUUUGGAAAUGGAGGCUAAUUUUUUUAUUUCCAAAAAUUGCAUGAUCUAUGUUAUUAAUUAUUUUAGUUAUAUUAUAUCUCACAACUAGAUUUGAAUUGAUAGAAUAUUAGAAGCUAAUCACAUACCCUGAGAGUUUCUAACUCUGGACCUUCCAAUGCAUCAAAAUACCGAUCCACAGGUAAUGGCCUAUCAGUACUACUGGAGUUGUUGUUACCAUCUUGUGCAGUUGCUCUGGGUGACUUUCCACGUAGAAUUGUUAAUUGUCUCUCAAGUCUUCCAGACCAUGUUUUAAAAGAAUCAAACCUCUUGUCCUUGAAUGCUUUGAUGCCAGGAUGGUUAUCUAUUUUGACUCCAUUAUCUGCCUCUUGGGGCACAUAGCCUUUUGGCAUUGGUUGAGAGUAACAUUUUGAUGCCUGUGGAUGGUUGGAGUUAGCAGUUCCUGAUUGAGAAGAGGAAAUGGGAAUACCAUCUGUUUUGUUGUCCAGUGGUUGAAGCUGAACUUGUUCAGAAGAAAGUGGCAUGCUGAUAGAAUACUUCCUUUGAUGAUUGAUGACUACAGGUUCAUCAUGUUGUCUUCUUGGUGAGGUUUCUUCACUUCCCUAUCACAAACAAGAGAAAAAGUUGGAUUUUACUAAUUUCUUAAAUUAGAAACAUUAAAAAGGUAUAUUGUAAAUUACUAUGAAUUUUAAAUAAUACAGGUAUUCUAAAUUUUACAUGGCAUGAAAAAAAAAAACUCAAUUUUUGGAAAUUGGCUUUGUAGUAUUCAAUUAUACAGGUGAAGUGCUUGAAAAAGAGUCUUACUUGGGCAUAUGGGCUGGGAGGUUGAGAGUCAGCAGUGUCAAAGCCCGCAACAUCACUUGAUGAUAUAUACCUUAUGAGUGAUGGAACUUCAGGAGAGCCUUGUUCUGCAAUUUCAAUGUUUAUGUUGUUUUCCAUGCUAGAUCUGAGAAAGGUGUGUUAGACUCGCUUUGUACUUUACUUAUUAAUGAGAAGUUACAUCAGAUAUGAUCAAAUAAAAUUUAACAUAUAGCUUUGCCUCUAAUUCAGAUGAUCUCACUGGUAAGCAUAGAUGUAGAAACAAGUAGAGCUGGCAAAAUUCAGAUCCAAAUUAGACAGUGAACAAAAAGAAGAGAUGGGUUGACAAAGAAAUAUGCAUCGGCUAUCAAUUAUAUCUUGUUCUCAUUAUAGACACAAAGUCAUAAAGACAAUCUUGUACAUGAAAAUAGGAUGAUCACAGUCAUCCACUUAGUUCACAAAUGACUUAUUUUUUUCAUAAAAAGUCAAAAACUAUGUUCCUGAUAGGUACAGCAAAUCCAAAGGGCAUUCAUUGCUAGAGUCAAAAUCAGUGAAUAUGCGAAUAUCUUUUUUUCAAUUGAGGAGCCUUCCUUCUUUGUGAAAGGUUCUUGUCUGCUAUAUUAAUAAAACAGGAGAAGGUCUUUUCCCAAUCCCCACAAAAAAUGGACAAGAGGGAGUUGAUGAGUAACAGCAAGCAUUAUAGGAUAAUGACCGCAGAGAUGUCAAAUUUCAGUCCCUUCCAUCUUCUCUGAAACACUGUUAGCAUUAAUCUGUCUUGGAUGAAGCAAUAAAUGAAACACUCCCCAGCUAUUAAUUCAACUCAAUUUCUAUUGGCUAUGGAUCCAUAUUCCAUAUGAUGAUGCCAAAGUUGAAUAAUGGUGAAAUGGAAAUUAGAUCAGUCUUUGAAGAAAAGAAAUCAAAGCAAAUGCAACCUAAAAAAUUUUCAACAAUAAACACAUUGCAGACUUCAAGUUUGGAUUAAUAUUUAUUUUUUCUGUAGUAAUCGAAGAGGAGAUUUACAAUAACUCGUACAUUGCUUAACCAACUGAGCUAGACUCCCUUGACAAGUUUGGAUUAAUUAGUAUAACUAUAUGCACAUAAUACAUAACUGGAUAAUGGAGAAGUUCACUGUGCAAGGUAAGGAAACACAAGAAUUAAAAGAAAAGAAAAAAGAAUAAGAAUCAUAACCUUUAAGCCUUUUCUCUUCUCUGCCACGGGACUACUAGAAAUCUUGGACAACCUCCUUGUGAGUUGAUGAUCGAAAAGUGAGAAUUUAAAUAUGAACAAGAUUAGAAUUCACCAGAGAAAAUGCACCGUAGGCUUAAAAAAAUGACGAUGGACAAAGAUGUGGCUUAAAGUCAUAGGAUUGGGAAGAUGAUUAUAUAUGGUCUAAGGCUAUGGUAGGCCAAGUGUACUUUGCAGCCGUAACCUUGAAAGGUCCUCAUUUUUUAAUUAGAAUCACAGCAACUUAUUUGUUUGAAAAAGACACGUUCAAGGAAGAAGACAAAGCAACAUAAAACAUUAUUGUAGGACAGGUAAGAAGAUAUUAACUACGAAAUGACUUCAAAUCAUUAAUAAAUUUAGUUAUUUUCUUGAUGAACACAAGAUAUUUAAAAAAAAAUAUUGAGUGGUUGGCCUACAAUUGAUCACAGUGGUGAUGGUGCAUUCCGAUUUUAUGGUAACAUCUAUUAGCAAGCAUAUCAAAAGUUUGAGUUAGUUUGAAGUAAGCGCCAGCUGCAGCCAUAGUCAAAAGGAUUGGCACGGUUUCGAGUUUCACAUUCAGUCCUUAUUAGUACAGCAAAGACACGGCUACACUUGUUGCUAAAUUUGAAUGGAGCGAUUUCGGGUUUGAACCUUAGGAAUUUAUCUACAAAGGAAGACAUGUUCAGCACGGAAGAUGUCACACCAACUCACUUUGUGAACUAAAGUGAAAACUACUCAAAUUCAUGAUAUUAGCAAAACAAAUAAACAAAAAUCAAGUAUACUUUACAAUUCGUCUUUGGUUACAAGGAAAAUAUUUUUCAGUCUUCUUUUAGUUUGAGAUGACAUAUAUGCUCGAGGGAGAUAAUCUUUGUUCGAAUUGGGUAGGAUUACUCUGAGCAUCAAAGUUCUCCUUCUAAUUAUUUGACACAAUUACAUUUAAAACUCGGACUCUGACAUUAGUUAAAUUACAACAACCCCAAACUAAUUGAUUCAUUCAUUUGCUAGUUAUGUUUUGGUCUUCUUUGAAACCCCAAGGAAUUCCUUCCUUUAAAAUCCUAACACCUAUCAUAUUUAGUUUUUUAAAGUUGUUUAAAAAAAUGAGACAAAGCUUACAAAUUGAAAGUAAAAACCUUUAAAGCACAACAUAGGACUUGACAAAAAAAAUGGACACUUUCACAUUAUUAAUGCCUAAGAUAUAGGAUACAUGGACAUCAUAUAGGCACAUAAAGAGAGAUAUUUUAAUGAAAUGAAAUAUAAACAUCUUGAUUAAAUUGUAAUUUUGGUUCCUAUAAUUUUAAAUUUAUAAUUUUUGUUACCUAUUUUUAAAUCAAGACAUUUAGUUCUCUUAUUUUUCACAAUAAGUAAUUUUGAUCCUUUGGUUAGUUGAUCAUCCAAAGUCAAACAUUAACUUUGACUUAGCAUAUUGUUAUUGAGUGAUGCUUAUAUAAACAAUUGAUAUGAACUUAUGUAAUAAGGGGUUAAAUAAAGUGAAAAAUAAAUUUUUUUUGGUAGGAAUUAAAUUCAUAACUUUUUAUUUAAGGAUAAAAUAAUAAAUCAUUAAGACAUUUAUUUUAUUUCAUUAAUUUUAUAAAUUCUAUUUUAAUAUAUCAUAAGUUAAGAGAUAUUAUUUUUUCUAAUUAUAAAAAUAUGUAUAAUAAUUAGAAGUGCAGAACAUCCAAUUAAUUGGGCAUCCAAUUAAUUAGAAGUGCUGAACAUGUGCUGGACAUAUUAAUAUCGAGGAGUGUCCAUGUUAGAAAACGUACUAUUAGGACAAAUUAACACUUUGAACAAGAGAAAUAUUAGGAUAAAAUCUAAAGAAAUCUGGUUAAGUACUGCAUGGGUCUAAAAAAAUUGUUAGUUACAAGAGGAGCAAGGCCCAAAUUAAGGACGCUAUAUUACAAUCUGAUCACCAUGAAAGAAAAUAGUUAAUCUGCAGUCAGUAUAGUAAGUGACAACCAUAUACAAUAAUGUUGACAUAAAAUGUAAUUAUAAAUGCGUUAAUUAAGGUGAUGAGAGCUUCUAAGAAAUCACAGUCAACGACGAGAGGAAAACAAAUGAAUAAAUAAUUCACGGCAAAACACCAACAAGUCCUUGUUUUGCAUGCUGGUUCAACGUUUAAAAAACAAUAUAGGUUAGCGCGUAAUAUAAUAUAGCGAUAAAUUAUUAUCACUUAACUUUCAUUAUAGUUCGGUGAAUAAAUAAAAAAUAAAAAAAUUAUGACAAGACAAAGCAAAUUGAAUACCGCAACAAAAUAACAUUAUGAACCAAUCAGUAUAUUCUAUUUCAAUUAAUUAUAACAUUUACAAUAAAUUCAUUAGUCUUUUUUUGUUAUAAAACGUGGUAGAAUGAGGGUAUGUGCCAAUACUACUAAAGAAGGCGCCAACAACAUAUUAGAGUUGUGAGCAGAAACUCACCUAUUAAGAGAUUUAUUGUACUAAUUUAUAUAGAAAACUAUUUUAAUCUAUGGUAGCUAUUCGACUAAUUAACCCUUGUGCGUCUUGCUAGAGAUCACCCUGAGGAGGAUUAUCGUCUACUAAGUGAAGUUAAAGUGUAAUUUCAACGAAAUAUAUAAAUAUUUUAAUGCGAUAACACGUCAAUUUGAACAUACCAAUAUUUUCAACGAACAAAUUUUUUGGAUGAAUUUCAACAAACAAAUAUUAAAUGUGUAUAUUUCCGGUUGUACUGUCAUGGAUAUAUAUGUGAUCGAACUAAAAUAAUUCAUAGGGUCAAUUUCCGACAGCCAAGGAAUAUAAUAGGCUUUGCUAUGAUAGCAACAUGGAGAACCUGAAUAAUAAUAAGUCAAAGGCGUGGUGUGAAUUAUGCCACAUGCACCAUCGCUGGCACAGGAAGGUUACAGUGCAGUCCCCACUUACAGCUAAAAAAAAUAAGAUAUGCCACUAAAUGACACGCCUCUUUCUUUCUAUCUGUUUGAUGAUCUGUAAACAAUCAAAUAUGCCUCGGCUUGGUACACAACAAGUACUAUGUAUCUAAAUUUCUGGGAUCUUGAAGAAUAAAUAUUGUUAUGUAGUCCUAUAUCUAAGUGUCGUGAAUGUUCAUAGAACAUGCCAGUUUUUGAGACAUUGGAUUCUCACCAAGGUUGUCUUACUUAAGUUGACAUUUUUUCUUCCGCGCCUAAAAUGUAGAAUCUAUUUCUUGGUACAAUCAUUUAGAAUUUAGUCAAUAAAAAUUAGUUCAAUUGAUAAGUAUUGUACUCUUAUCUCCAAGAAUCUUAUUAAUAAAUAAUCUAUAAGUAUCUUAAAACAUGUUUUGAUUACAGUAAGUUUCAGAAUUUAAUUUAUUUAAAUUUUUCUUUAUAAAAAAUCAAAAAAUUUAUUUUGAACCUAGUUGCAGUAUAUAUAUUCAUCCAAUUCAAUUACAUUGUAAAUAGGAUUGAUCAGCGGAACACUCUUUUAAAUAAGUUGCCAACCCGCUUUUUUUCCUUAUAGACAUGGUGCAUGUUCUGGUGGUUAGUGAUAAGCUGAUUGAUUUGGAAGAAGAGGAAAAAAAAGGACUGCAUGAUUUUGAAAGUUUGAUUUUAAAAAAUAUAUAUUAUUCUAUUAGUUGGACUUUUUUGGAUAAUAUAUAUAUGAUGGACGACAUAUUUGAUUUUUGAAUGGCAGUCUGUUAAUGAAAUUUAGAUGUCAAGGGGACUUAGGUUUGAGAAUCCUCUUGCCCCUUUUCUAUUCCUUAUAUUGUUCUAAUCAAUUGAAUUUGUAAUGUCCACGUUUUAAAUUAUAUUGGUCAGGAUUGUGUUAGUUCUCUCUUUGCAUUAUGCUUAUUAUUAUGGGAGAAGCUAGUUUGCAAAUUUGUGGAGUUUAAAGGUUGUUUUAAGAAGUUUUGGACUUAUCUCGAUAGUUAGAAGGUUAAAUUUCAUAAGAGUAACUGUGUUGAAAUUAGUAUAAAAAAUAAUUUUUUUUCUGUUGUGAAUCAUUAUAAUUUUACAAGUAGUUUCAAAUUUUAGCCUUGCAUUAAAUAUUAUUCCUAUAGUCUUAUUAUAAUUAUCAUGUAAGAUAAAAAAAAUUAUCCUAAAAAAAUUAUUAUUUUAGUUUUUUAAUGUAAUAUUAAUUACUUUGUUUUACUUAUGUCUUUUAUAAUAUUAAUAGUAAACAAAAUAAUAUAUAAAUAAAUUAAUGAUUUUAUAAAAUUAUUAUUUUCUUUUGGUAUAUUUAUUAUUUUUCUUGUUCUAUUUAAAACAAACUAACACAACGAUAUAUGAACAAGAGAGUAAAAAAGAUGAGUUAUAUCCUAUCAGCAAGAUUAUCUCCAAUAAAAAGAUAUAUGUGAUAUAUUAAAAAGAAAUACUAUCUCUUUUUUCAGCAAUUAUUUCCACAGGUAUAUAUGACAAAUACCGCAGACAAGUAGACUACAAAUUUCCCUAUUAUUCUCACAUGCUCGUGGAUUCGAACCUUUGUCUUAUUCGAGUACAAUUACCAUACUAUUUAUUGCAUCAAAGUCUUUGUAAGAUUUGAUCCAAAGUGUUAUUAUGUCAACAAACUAUCAAAAUUAAGGCUACGUUCGGAGUGAUUUUUAGUUUUGAAUUUUAUAAUUUUUAAAAGUAAUUAGUUUUUAAUUUUAAUUUCAAAAAAGUUUAAAAUCAGAUCUUAAAAUUAAAUGUGGUAAGUUUUAGUUUUUUCAAUUUUUAAUUUUAAAAUAUUUUUUUGUUUUAAAAUUACAUUUAAAAACUAAGAAAAAAAAAUUAAAAACUCACUUCCAUUUCAAACGAAUCCUAAAAUUACCUUUAUGCAUUAAUUAAAGUGAGCCGCAAAUGUCAAAUUGUAAGUCAACUAAGCUAAAUCCACUAAGACAAUGCUAACACCACCACCAAAACGCAAUUUACACAACCUUAAUUAGCUUGCAGGGUUUUGUUAUUUACACUUUCUUUUUGUGGUUGACGCCUCUCUGUUUAUGUUAUUUUUUUGGCAAAAAUAUCCCUAGUGCUAACAUAUUUUCGUUGAGUAUUUUCACAAAACAUAAAUGUAUUCCCAUUUCGUAAUGAAUUUUUUAUGCCAUUUUUUCCAAAAUGGAAAUGCAUUUCCGUUUUGCAUAUUGUUCGAAAAUACAAAAUAAAUGCAUUUUUGUUUUGUAUAAUUUUUUAGAAAAUGGAAAUACAUUUUUGUUUUAUAUUAGAAUAAUCUACAAAACAAAAAUUUAUUUUCAUUUUCUCAAUUUUUAAAAAAUAAAAUGGCAUUAUAAAUGCAACUACCUAAUAAGUCUAACAUAACAUAAAACAAAGCAAUACAAAGUACAUGUAUAUAGUGAAACAAAUUAGUGGUAAUUAGAACAAAUGAACGGACUUAACAAAAUUGUGUUUAGGCUUUAAGGUUGACUCUCCAUUGGUGGAGUUAAUCAAUCUCUAGCUCUAGUUAAUGUAAGUUUGUCAUGAUUGGAUCUAGCUUCUGUGUUGUCCCUCCCUGUGUUGUUCUUCUAAAAUUAUAUAGUUUUAAUUAUUUUUAAAAUUAAAUGUUAUCAUUAAAUAUUAAUAUAAUUGUUAUGCAGUAUUAUUUUUAUGGGAUAGCACAGAGACAACAUGAGAAGGGAUUAGCAGAGAAGCCAAAUUCGUUAUGAUUUGGGUGAUGAAUCUUGGUCAACACAGGGAAGCCAUGGGUGGGCAUUUGAUUGAUGACUCUAGUUUGACGCAAGUAGGCUAAGAUUUUGUCAUUGGAUCACUAGCGUUUUGUCAUUAGAUAAAACAAUUAAUAAUAUAAUUAAAUAAAAUGAUUAGAAUAAUUAUCUUUAAUCCAAAACAUAAAUGUAUUUUCAUUUUAGUCUUUUUUCAAAUCCAAAAAAAGAUUCCAGAAGAAAUGCAACUUCUUACUUCAUUCUUUGGGAAACUUCACGGAGGACCUUUGUGGGGGCAUAAUAGGUGUCAGUGGUGUUAAAGGGGAGAGGAAGAGAAACAGUAAGAGAGAGGGAGGGGUUUUAAUGCUAAAGGGGGGAGGAGG
rnacentral:lncRNA from 1 species